GUUUUAGUAUAAGUAUGUCUCAUGCCAUAUUCGGGACAUACUUACACUGAAA
rnacentral:pre_miRNA from 1 species